rnacentral:rRNA from 1 species
GAAUAAGAGGUCCCGCCUGCCCUGUGACUAUAUGUUUAACGGCCGCGGUAUUUUGACCGUGCGAAGGUAGCGCAAUCACUUGUCUUUUAAAUGGAGACCUGUAUGAAUGGCAUAACGAGGGCUUAACUGUCUCCUUUUUCGAGUCAAUGAAAUUGAUCCCCCCGUGCAGAAGCGGGGAUGACAACAUAAGACGAGAAGACCCUAUGGAGCUUUAGACACCAAAGCAGACUAUGUUAAAGACCCCCAAACAAAGGGCCAAACAAGAUAACUCCUGCCCUAAUGUCUUUGGUUGGGGCGACCGCGGGGAAUUACAUAACCCCCAUGUGGAAAGGGAACAUCCCUCCUACAACUAAGAGCUACCGCUCUAAGUAACAGAACAUCUGACCAAACAGAUCCGGCCUGCGCCGAUCAACGGACCGAGUUACCCUAGGGAUAACAGCGCAAUCCCCUUCUAGAGCCCAUAUCGACAAGGGGGUUUACGACCUCGAUGUUGGAUCAGGACAUCCUAAUGGUGCAGCCGCUAUUAAGGGUUCGUUUGUUCAACGAUUAAAGUCCU